GUGAUGAGACACAGCUCACCUACCAACAUGGAGAUGGGCUUUUCUUAAUGAUGCAGUAGGACAAUGUGCAUUUAAACCUGCCUCUGCUGUCUGGGUGCAUGUUUGGCUCUAAGGAUGUGCAUCUGUCUUUAGGUUGACUCCAUUUCAGUGCUGCUUAGGAUAUCAACCACCUGUGGCUCCGUGGACUGGCUCAGAGACUUCAGUUCCUGCUGUAGAUGAAUGGAUGAAGAGUGAGCAGAUCUGGGAGCAGACUCAUCAGAGGAUAGACACGAGAACAAGCAGAUCGACAUCACGGUCGCACACCGGUUUAUGAACCAGGAUAUAGAGUCUGGCUCAUGACGAGGGAUUUUCGACAUUCCAAGGGAAGUAAGAAACUUCAACCCAAAUAUAUUGGGCCAUUUAAGGUGGUUAAAAGAAUAAACUAAGUGAUAUAGAUUGGACUUGCCUCCCAAGAUUUAGUUUCACGAUCAUUCCAUGUUUCUUUGUUAAAGUCUGUUACAAGGCUACUGGAAGAGGAGUCACCAGACAUCAUGCCACCCCUGCCAGAAUUGAUAGAUGGGUCAAUGCUGUUAGAAGGUUGCUGGACUUCAGGAGACGGGGUGGUCGUAUGCAGUAUCUGGUUGACUAGGAGGGAUAUGGUCCUGAGGAGCAAUGUUGAGUGCUGGCGAAGGACAUCCUGGAUCCUAGACUGAUUGCAGAUUUCCACAGCCAGCACCCUGACAAGCCUGCUCCAUGUCCCAGGGUUCGCCCGCAUAAGGGGCUACCUGCAUCCCUUCCGGAUCGUCUGCAGACACAUCUGAUACAUAUCUCUUGUGGCAAUGGAUCGACAUCCAUCAAUCCAGAAACUCGGCAGCUCUAGGUAUGCCCCUGUUCAGGGAUCUGUCGGGUGGUUUGGUGGUCAUCGUGGUCAUCGUGGUCGUCCUCGUUCCAAGGCCCGUCGGGACUCUUUGGAGGGAGGUACCCGUCAUGAGUCCUCCAUGAACACACUGAGUGUUUCUUGUAUUUUGUUUUGAUUCUUGUGUAUGACUUACUGCCUGUUUUCAUUUGACCCUGCUAAAUGCUGUAAAUGUAAAUGUAAAUAUUUUCAUUUGACCCUUCUUUUUGGAUUUGCCCUUCUUGUAUCUUUGCUGGACCUGGUUGCUAUAUGGUUUUGACUCCUCACCUGCUUUUUGGGUCUUGCUCUGUCUUCCCCAAGACUGUUAUAGUUGCCUUUCUCCUGCUGCUUGCUUUUCUGGAUUUGACCCAUGCCUGUGUAUUGAUGACUCUGUGUUCUCCUGAUUACACCAGUAAAGCUUCA